AACCCCACCCCCCCCAGUGCUAAAAGGCAGCGUGGAGCCCCAGCACUGUUAACUGCCUUAACUCCCUUCCAGGCCCGAGGACAGGCGCUUUCCUCGGUCUGAGGUGUGACAAUAACAAUGACAUGGGCAUCGCACACGUGAAAGCGCUGGACAAUAAACUGUGCUCUGAGGCCUGCUUACCUGCCGCCGUGCCGGACUCCUGCCCCAUUAACAUUGAGGAAUAGGCCCAGAGGCCGCCAACAACAACGUGCGGCUGCAGCAGACGCCCCGGCCCCGCCGCCCCCCCGGCACCCGAGACCUGGAGCAGG
rnacentral:lncRNA from 1 species